AUGGCUGUCGUCAGCUCGUGUCGUGAGAUUGUUGGGUUAAGUCCCGCAACGAGCGCAACCCUUGUCUUUAGUUGCCAUCAUUCAGUUGGGCACUCUAAAGAGACUGCCGGUGUCAAACCGGAGGAAGGUGGGGAUGACGUCAAGUCCUCAUGGCCUUUAUGACCAGGGCUACACACGUACUACAAUGGCCGGUACAAAGGGCAGCCACUUAGCGAUAAGGAGCCAAUACCCGUAAAGCCGGUCUCAGUCCGGAUUGGAGUCUGCAACUCGACUCCAUGAAGUUGGAAUCGCUAGUAAUCGCAGAUCAGCACGCUGCGGUGAAUACGUUCCCGGGCCUU
rnacentral:rRNA from 1 species